GCGCCCGUAGCUCAACUGGAUAGAGCGUCUGGCUUCGGACCAGAAGGUUUGGGGGUUCAAGUCCCUUCGGGCGCA
rnacentral:tRNA from 1 species